rnacentral:rRNA from 1 species
UACGUAGGGGGCAAGCGUUGUCCGGAAUUAUUGGGCGUAAAGAGCGUGUAGGCGGUCCGGUAAGUCGGCUGUGAAAGUCCAGGGCUCAACCCUGGGAUGCCGGUCGAUACUGCCGGACUAGAGUUCGGAAGAGGCGAGUGGAAUUCCCGGUGUAGCGGUGAAAUGCGCAGAUAUCAGGAGGAACACCGGUGGCGAAGGCGGGUCUCUGGGAAACAACUGACGCUGAGGAACGAAAGCGUGGGUAGCAAACAGG